CCAGUGCUGGGGCGCAAGCAGCCUCCCUCUGGGCCCCGCCGGGUUUGGGAGCGAUGGCGGUGUGCUUUUUAUUCUUCGCUCGUUUUCCCGUGGCCUUUGCUCAUCGACAAAAAUAUUGUCAUGGGGACUAGUUCUCCACCGCCAGGAAUCCUCCCUGCCCUGCCACGGCCAAGGACCAAAACCAUCCUAGGCGGUGCCGGUGCCACAAUACCGAUGAGGUGAGGCGGGAGGGUGCCAUCCUGACCGCUUGGGAAGGUGCUAUGGGGCAGAGGAAAGGGAACACGGGAGAGUGACAGGGCUGUUGAGGCGGCUGCGGUCUGAUGGCCACGUUCCUCCCAGUUUCUGCUUCUGUUCAACCCCUCGAAACGGGUCGGACAUUUACUUUUGGCAACUUUGAGCGUUUCCCUUUUGUCAGGCGCUUGCCAACUAAGCUGCGUUUUCAGCACUUUAACUGCACCUCCGCUGAAAUGGCAGCUGCCAACGAGAGCCGGCUUAUGAUUCUGGAGACGCUACAAUGGAUAUUCAUUUCUUAUAUCCCUGGUUUAUUUUGUGCAUGUUUGUUGCUGCCUGGGCAUUAUAAGAAAUUACAGCAGCUUUCUUCUUACGUUCACGUGAGCAACACCCAGCUCCUGACAACCCCCCGAGCUCUGCAAGAAGCUGCCUCCCCAGCUCGGGGAUUCCCAAAUCUUCACCUCUGACUCUAGGAUUCGCAAAGUGUAACUGUGGGGAUCAUGGUACCAGCACGUUCAUCAGCAUCUCGGAACAACUUCGCCCGGCAGCGAGCGGGCUAUGAGAAACAGCAGAGCCCGGGUCCCUGCGCUGCAAUUGUGUAGCGAGAAAAAUAAAUCCCUGGGAACGCUGGUCUUGCCUCCGCUCUCAGAGGCCUGCCAGGCUGCGACAGUGAGUUCAGGGCUAUGAGGUUGCCUUUAAAUCUCAGGAAGCACAACAGCAGAGUCGUCACUUCUGAGGUUUAGCAUUUUGGACUUGCAUUUGCUGUUUUAGGCGUACCCAGCUCUUGUGUGCCCCAAAAUACCGGUAUUUCUCAAGUCUUUUACAAUAUCCUGACAGCCCUAGCCCCCUUAAUCUAAUUUUAGAAAACUUUGUAGGGAUUUUAUAUUUAUAAACAGUUAGUACUUAAAUAUUAUUUCCCUCACCAUAGCAACAGCUCCCCAUCGUAGCAUUCGUUAUACGGUGCUAUUGCAUUGGUGUAUCCCUGUUUUGAGUGAGAAAGCCCUGAAGCCACUCUCUCGUGCCCGUUUUCCUACACCUUGCAAAGGACUGAGGCUCCCGCCUGUCCUGACUCUCUUCCCGGAGCUGGGGGAGAGCCGUACCACCAGCUGCUGCUGGAAACACGCCGGUGGCCCUGGGGUUUCCAUCACUGGUGUCGCUCAGGUGAUGCGCCGGCUCAGGCCAUCCCCUUCCACGGACACAAGCUGCUGAUUCAUCUGCCGUGGCGUAGCCGACCUCGUACCUACGGACCUGUAGUACCUCCGCGACAGCCCUGAGUGCCAUCCCCACGCGGCACACGGGCCUUCGGCAGCUCCGGGUACCCGUGACGGGCACCUGACGUACGCUUGCACUUGCUCAGCACCGCCGGUGAGCGGUGGGGAGGAGCUGGGAGCGGGCGUCCAGCUGGCCCGCGGCCACGGCUGCGCUCCGCUCUCACCGGGGGCCAAGGCGCUAGAAGUGCAGGAAUGGCAGGAUUUCAAGGAGUUUGGCCAAGCGGGGCAUAAACCGGGCCAGGGACCGCUGCCAGGAGGAAAUCAAGGGGCUCACGGUAAGAAUACGAGAGCAGACGGGCACCUGCAUGCUUCCCAGUCUUUCCAAAGAGGAAGGAUUUGCUCCUCUCUUAGACACCAGCCCAGAAACAGUCUGGCCACUGAGACACCUCCAAAGUCCAUCUGCAAAGAUCCAGGGUGCCCCACAACUUGGAGCGAUCCCGGAGCUACGUGGGCACGUACCUCCUGGUGCUGGGGGUUGCCCCCCACCGCCUGCGGGACUGGCACGGGUGCCUGGAGAACUUUAAAACACCAGCGACGCGCCUUGAGCGUCUACGCAACACCUGGGCUUCAAAUGGCGAUUUGAACCCGGGGCAGUCAAGGUAACGGGGCUGUAGAGGCUGUCUCGUAGGAAGGAAAGAAAUUUGAGAGCGCGAUGCAAAAAAUAAGGAAGAAAAGCAGGGUUGAAUGACAAACAGAUGCCUUGGAUCGUUUCAGCUGGGCAUGACCACAUUUUUUGAUGCUCCCUGGUAUUUUAAGCAUACUCUAGAGAGAUGCCGUUGGUUUGAAAGUUUACAUGUUAUAGCUCUGUAUCUCUGACCGGUGAGUAGUAAAAUAUUAAUUAGGCUCCAUGGGGUGUGUUUGUGGUCAGUUUGCCUUUCAGAGGGAAGGACUGCUGGGGCUGUACCUCACCCUCAUCAAGAAAAUUUGCCUCUGUUUAAAAGGCAUCAUUUUUCCCCAGCGUGGCUCUAGGCAGGAGAGCAGAGAGGCUGCUGGUAACUGGGAGAGUCAAAAACGCUCACCUUUUAAAAUCUUCAUCUGCGCCCAAAUGCAGUUUGAAAGCAUCCAAUUGCCACGCUCUCCAGCAACAGAUUUCUGCGAAGGCUUUGUGUUUUCUCCUCUUGAGUUACGGUUCAAAAAAAUCUGCCUUAACAACAUAAUCUGCUUGGGAAUAUAUGUAAUAAAAUACCAACGUGGCUGUUAAGGUGAUAUGAAGGUUACUGUUCUAAUCACUCAAAAUGCAGUCGGGAGCAAAGUUACGAUUCUCACAGUAAUCUGGCCACAUUACAUCCCCCGUACAUCUUGCGAAACGCCAUUAACAUAAAGAGCGACGUAUUCAGGCACAUAAAUUUAAAGGCAGACUAACAGAAAAUACUAUUUGCGUGCUUAAGCGCGGCAUAUUGACAGCCUGCGUCAGAUCGUCCUGUAGCCUUUGUAAACCCACCUGCACGCUACGGUUUUUCUGCCGGAGGAGAGGAGGCUCUCCCCGGGCUGCAGUGCCGGUGUGCCGCUCCGGCCGGCUCCCGGCAGCGAUGGAGAUCCCCCUCCCCGCCUGGCCGAGAGACUUUCCGUGCUGCAAGGAAACGCCGCGCGGGGCCGAGAUGAUAAAAACUUUGCGGCUGCCCCGCGGGCCAAGUAUGCUCAGAGGAUCGCGAGGCACAUCCCUGCCAUGGCGCUGGCACAGGAGGUGUUACGGUGGCAAUCUCAGCGGUGGAAGUAUUGGGAUUUCCCUGCUGUCAUUUUUAUGCUGGAUCAGUCAGAGCAAAUGCUGUUAUAAAACCGCCUGCGAGCGCCCUGCAGAAAUAUCAACGCCAUCCUCACAUUAGCAGCUGUGGGACUGAGUGCAGUGCUGUUUUCCACCAUUGGCAAGGCCAGGGAAAGGAGGAAAACAACAGGAAGGGUGGUCGGAGAGGGGCUGACCUCUUGCUGUCUGCUGCGAGCCAUGAAGUGCCGUGAGAGACCCCGGACUGGGAUCACAAGGUGUUUCCAGGCAUCCUGCAGCACCCACUAGGGGACAAGGAAAGUAGGGGUCCAGUGAGGCACUGAGGAGAGCAAGUCUCUGAUGCCAUAAGCAGCCCUGGGAUGCCUGUCCCAGCCUGUGGGAAACAGGUGCCAUCAUCUUCCUCCUGAAGACACCGGGGAUGUCCUGCUUCCUCACAUCUGCACCAACGUGAAGAGACAGUGUAAAGAAACCGGCAGUUUUGGAGCAUAGCUCGUUUGACUUCCUGAGAUGUCUACCUUGGGGUGACCUCAUGUUUCUCUGGUGGGAAUAAGGUGAGAUGAGUGGGCUGGAGAACACGCGUGACAGAAAUGUGGGCAGGAGGAUGGCACACUAGCAACACAGGAGGCAGGAGUUCUCCAGCAGUCAUCCCGAGUUCACCUAGUCCCUGGCGUGCUUGGGCUCACUGCAGGGAGGAAAAGAGGAAAAACCUUUAUCAGGAUGGUCAAUUCUUCCCCAGAAAUCCCUGUGCUCCCAUUGCCUGCGCUCCUUCUCUCAAAGAGAGCAGCCCCGCACCGGUCAGCGCUCUUGGUGUGCUGCCAGGACAUGUGAAUGCUGAAGGUGAGUGUGGAGCAAGGCUCUGGUCAAACAUCUAAUGCCUCUUUGUGCUCGACUCCAAGCCCAGGAGAGGUCAGAAGCACGGGGAACCUGGAAAAUUGGAAAGGGCUUGCUUCUCUGGCAGGAAAAUCUCAGCAAGAGCUUUUGAAUAUGAACAAUUACAGUUUGGACAGAGGAAGAAUGUGUAGAGGGCACCAGAAAUAGGACGUGGGACAGGGCCUGUUGCCCCGGGUUUUUUGCAGGGUGAUUUUGCACCCUUGUGUGAAGUUGUCCAGAGGCUGCGGUAUAUCUGUGGGCCAGGGAUGUCCCUGAAUCACUGUCUUCUCAAGGGCCAGGAAAUACAAUGUGAAAAUAUACGGUGAAAAUAGUGCACCUGGUAGGACUUCUCUUAAUGAAUGGUGCAAAGGAGGAGCAAGUCAUCUGAUUUACCCAUCACAAUGUAUUUCAGCAUCCCUGCUUUUGUGCCUCUGAGGCAUGCAACUCGUCUCCCUCUCCUUCUUCCAGUGGUCAAGGUUUCUGAUGUCCUGGCUUUCCCUCUUGCUCCCAGCUCAGUUAUCCGAGUCCUUUGAUCAGCCUAGGCUGACGUCGCCUCCUCCCUCCUUUCUCUGGGUUGUUACUUGGAUGAUACCUGCAGGCAGCAGAGAGGAGGCAUGCCUUCUCCCAGCCCUGUUCCUGAGCGGUGUAAGUUUAGCUCCCGUAGCUUCUCUUCACAGUCUUCUUGCUCCCUGGCCAUACUGAAUAUAUACCAUUUCUGUGCUGCCGCCUCUGAUUUCUACAGAGGAAGCCUUUGCCAGCAGUGGAUGUGUCUGAUUUUUCUCACUUUGCCGUGGCAGCUUUGGAGCUGUCGAGAUCCCUGGAGACUCAGCGAGUCUUCAAACAGUCAGAGGAGCUGAGAUCCAGUCUCUUGAGACAUCUGAGCACAGCACAGCAUCAGCUUUUUGAUACAAUGCUAUCAAGACAUUUCUCUGUAUUUCUUUUUUUGCAAAUCAAUAGAACGGAUCUGGUUUCCCUCCUGCUGUUGUCGGGGGCUGUUGGAGAAGGAGGUGUUUUCAUUUCAGCUCUUGAGUCAAAGAAUAAAGGAGGAGGAGAAGGUGGGGGAGAGGAGGCAGGAAAGAAAUAUCAGAGAGGACAAUAAGGGAGAACAUCUGCUCAUGGCUUUUCCGUAGGGCUGGUCCUCUCUGAGCCACGGGAGGAGGCGGUCAAAGGGCAGUUGCCCUGUGCUGGAAAGCAAAGGCCGAGUGGCUGGAGGUGAGUGAUAGUGAACAGGAGGUGAAUAGAGGGGGCAGAGGGGCUUCAGGGGGCUGGGACGCACCGGGGAGCCCACUGGUGGCCUUUGCACCAACAGACAGCAGGACUUGGCAGGACAGGGCUGAAGGAGCCGGCUGGCUUUGCCGAGCCACCGACGAGACAACUUGACCCUUUGGCCAAUAAGUCGGUGUUGCAGGAGCUGAUUUCUUCCUUCCACCAGUGCAGGCGAAGUAUUGGCUUUUCCCCCCUCCCAGCUCUGGGGGUGGGGGGCACCUUGCUGCACUUCUAAUGCCGUGCGAAGCCACCCGCAGGGUUUCCCACCAGGCUGCAGGUUCCUGACCCAGGGGUCUGCC